GAAAUACGAUUUGCAACAGUGGAUCAAACUAUUGGUCCAUCUAGUAUCCUGUCUCUGGCAGUGGCCAUUACCUGAUGCUUCAAAGGGAGGUACAACUUCCACUUCUGACAUUGGGAUGCCGCUACAGAGCUCCAUGUCAGGCCGGAGAUGGCUGAGAAGGAACUGAGGGGGUUGGGCCGUGCGUGUGAUAGAUGAGGCGCCAAUGGUGCUGCAAGACAACCACUGUGCAUGCGCAACCCAGACGGACGCUGCUGCUGACAUUCUCCGAUCAAUGGCACAGGGGCGCACCAACACCUGAAGUGGAGCAUCCACAGGGGGACACAUCUCGAGGAACCUCAAUUACUAUACCAGGCCUUCCAAGGUGUUGCUGUGAAGAGAAGAGCUUGAGUCUGUUGUCGUUGCUGGCCUGGUACUAUUGGGAUCAUCGGCGGCUGCAAUCUGGGGCUGAAAUGGAUGGUUAGUGAAUGGGCGCCUCGAAGUAGGAAAGGGAGAGUGCAGUGCUGUCUUUAGGCCCACCGCUCGGAAGGUGGCUUGGACCAAGUUGAUGCUGUUCUUUACUUGAGCCUCUGAACGACCCUUGAUCAGCCAGUAAGUGAGAGGCAGAGCCAAGAAGCACGGCAACUGUUGAGGCCUGAAGUGCUUCCUCAAAGUGGACAGAGCAAGAGGCCCAGGGACCUGAGGGUAGCCCUUGAGUCCUUCAGGCUGUGUAGUCUCGCGUCCGUCUGCUCUGAAAAUAGUGAGGAGCCUUCAAAAGGGAGGUCCUAGAUAGACUGCUGGAUCUCCUGAGUGAGUCCCGAUGACUGCAGCCAGGAGCAUCAUCUCAUGGUGACAAUGGAGGCCAUUGUCCUGGCUGCCGUGUCUGCUGCAUCCAGUGCCCCCGGAGAGAGGCUCUGGCAACAUUCUUUCCUUUUUCUAAGAUGGCUGAAAAUUCCUGCCAUAAGUCUUAAGACAUGGAGUCCUUAAAUUUGGACAGAGUGUCCCCACAAAUUGUAGUCGUAUCUCCACAGUAAGGCUUGCUGGUUUGAGAUACAUAGUUGUAGACCACCUGUCAAAUAAACUUUCCUCCCAAACAGA